CUGGGUGCACUGGCUCAGAGUUUGUAUUAGUGCCUAUUUAUUAUUGAUUAUUAGUGCCUCUAAAUCUCUAAUGUACAAACAUUGUAAUCUGUUACUUAAUACCAUAAAGAAACUGUUGAUAGCACAUAUAUUAAAUGACUAUUAAUCAAAAUGAACUAAAUUUCGACCAUUAUAUACUUAGCAUAUUUCCCCCAAUAUUGAGGGAAUAAUUUCUCCUAUUUAUUUUUAUAAUAAGCCAAUAUUGCCCAACUGUGAAGUCAAUAUUGCCCGACUGGCCUAGUCUGCCCAACAAUUGAGCCCCGCCCUGUACGCCUAUGACCAGGCCUACAGGUGGACCCCCAACAUGAUUGGUCACAAUUUUUAUUUCUCCAAAAUUUCCCCUCCCCAUGUACAAGGAUUGACAGUUUGAUUAGAUUGGGAAAAAACAGUUAUAUUGGGUCAUUCCAGAAAACACCCAUACCACUCCCACAGAGGAAAUUGAAAGUUAAUCCCUCAUACCCCUUUGGAUGUCCUAAUACAUUUAUUAUUAUCAGAAACAAUUUUUUCCCCCUCCCCCUCUGAACGGCAGAAAUUUCCUCUGUGGGGGGAGUGUGGAUAUUUUCUGGAACGACCUGUUUGAGAAAUGCUUUUGCUAGUGAUGGGCGAUACCAGGAUUUUUAAUUCGAUACCGAUACCGAUACUUUUAAGAUCAGUAUCGGUCGAUACCGAUACCUAUUUCGAUACCAAAAUGAACACAAAAUUUCAAUUUUCGAUACCGGAAGUGAGUACUUACAUUGCUAGUAUCGGCCACUUUCGAUACCUGCCGGUUAACGUGUGUAACCUAAAUAAAACUAAUAAAAAGCUAAUAAGUAAACCAAAAGCUCGAAACGUAAUAAAUAUUUUUUAAACAUGACUUGGCGCACCACAUUUGGAAUAUUAAGAGUUAUUUUAGUGGUUCAUUAAGUCUUAUUCAACCAAGAAGUGAAAUUAAACAAGUCGUUUAAAAAUGGGUGCAAGUAUCGAACGAUACCACGUCAGUAAUCGAUACCGAUACCGCUGUUUGUGGUAUCGCUGGUAUCGAAUACCGAGUACUCGGUAUCGCCCAUCACUA